rnacentral:rRNA from 1 species
GCUAACCAUGCAAGUCGAACGCCCACCUUCGGGUGGGAGUGGCAGACGGGUGAGUAACACGUGGGAACGUACCCUUUGGUUCGGGACAACUCUGGGAAACUGGAGCUAAUACCGGAUACGCCCUUUUGGGGAAAGGUUUACUGCCGAAGGAUCGGCCCGCGUCUGAUUAGCUAGUUGGUGGGGUAACGGCCUACCAAGGCGACGAUCAGUAGCUGGUCUGAGAGGAUGAUCAGCCACACUGGGACUGAGACACGGCCCAGACUCCUACGGGAGGCAGCAGUGGGGAAUAUUGGACAAUGGGCGCAAGCCUGAUCCAGCCAUGCCGCGUGAGUGAUGAAGGCCUUAGGGUUGUAAAGCUCUUUUAUCCGGGACGAUAAUGACGGUACCGGAGGAAUAAGCCCCGGCUAACUUCGUGCCAGCAGCCGCGGUAAUACGAAGGGGGCUAGCGUUGCUCGGAAUCACUGGGCGUAAAGGGCGCGUAGGCGGCGUUUUAAGUCGGGGGUGAAAGCCUGUGGCUCAACCACAGAAUGGCCUUCGAUACUGGGACGCUUGAGUCUGGUAGAGGUUGGUGGAACUGCGAGUGUAGAGGUGAAAUUCGUAGAUAUUCGCAAGAACACCGGUGGCGAAGCGGCCAACUGGACCGGCACUGACGCUGAGGCGCGAAA